rnacentral:lncRNA from 1 species
UUUUUGUUUCCCUUUCUUGCAGACGUUCCCGCCUGGUAUAAAGUAGUCAUGGCUUUCCAAGUUAUCGGUUGUAUAUUCACCUUCCUGGCGUUCUUUAUUACUAUCUUCUGGACAAACAGACACUUCAGAUCCGAGAUACAGUGCCCAUGUUACAACAGAGUAGCGUUGGCCACUUACAUCGUUGCCGGAAUCUUCAUUCUGCUUGGAAUCAUCAUUUUGGUCGGCAAAACCAAGACGAAGCAGAUUGCCUGGGCUCCAAGCGUGACCGGCUUCGGCGGAGCGUUUUGUAUCAUCGCUGCCAGCUUCAUUCGAUGGGGCCAACAAGACGAUCAUGAUUUAAAGUAAAGAAAAACAAAAAAUUUAAUAAAUCAACACUUCGGAAAAAGAAAAAG